rnacentral:rRNA from 1 species
UCCUGGCCCUAAACGAUGUUCACUAGGUGUUAAUGGUAUCGACCCCAUUGGUGCCGCAGCUAACGCGUUAAGUGAACCGCCUGGGAAUUACGACCGCAAGGUUAAAACUCAAAAGAAUUGACGGGGGCCCGCACAAGCAGUGGAGCAUGUGGUUCAAUUCGAUGCUACGCGAAUAACCUUACCUGGGUUUGACAUGCUAGUAGUAAGAGCCUGAAAGGGUGAUGAUCUAUCUUUGAUAGAAGCUAGCACAGGUGCUGCAUGGCUGUCGUCAGUUCGUGUCGUGAGAUGUUGGGUUAAGUCCCACAACGAACGCAACCCCUAU